CUCCAUUCCACUAAGGUCGAAGCCAGUUCCUGUUUUACAUGCAGCUCAAACAUAUGCUCCCUUCUCUUAAACCACAUAUUCCCUCUUUUGUCUGUUGCUCCACAAAAGAAAGUAGCUUUAAACCGAGACAAUGGUGAUCAGACCUGCCUAGCAAUAAUACAUGUGUGUUAGACAUUCCUUCAGUGCACUCUGGCACUAGGAACAGGAACAGCUUUCCUGCCAUUCAGGAUACUCUGCAGUAUUCCGGACAUCAUGCAUGUGGGCUCCCGCUGUGGGAAAGUUUGAGGGGGAGUGUCUAGGGGAGGAGCUACAGCUCAGGUUGUUGGAGGUUUGAUUGUUGCUUCCCACAGUUAGAAGUCUCAGAACGUCAUGGUGAGUUCUACAUGAGUAGCAGGAGAAGAGGUGCUCUGCUAGAGGAGGACUUUUCUGUGAAGCUGGAGAUAACUCAGAUGAGAGCUGGCCAUUAUCUGCUGAUACAGACUGGAGAGGACUCUGGAGUGCAAUAGACUGGCACCAUGGCUGGAGGCAUGAGAAAAGGCUCUGGAAGACCCUCAUACUACUACAGAUUGCUGGGCAAGUCUCGACUUCAGCGUCAGCGCAGCAGGUCCCGCAGUCGUACAAGGCCAGCUGCCAACAGGGUGUGCUGAGGUCCUCCGUCCCUCUUCAACAAGUCAGAUCCCGUCCCUCCCUCAGACAUUAUCUUCCAAUGUAUUCUCUAUUGAGAAGAUUUUACUUUUAUCUGUAACUUUCAUCUUUUUAUAAGUGCAACAAACCGAGGCACAGAGUAUUCACAAGAGAUGCUGAACAUUUCAAACUCUACUUUAAGUUUUGUGCUUUCACAAAAACUGUAUUUUAGAUUGUGUCUUCUUGUAUCUGUGUGAUCCUAGAAGUGCUAACGUCUUGGUGUAACAAUUGACAAGUUUAUGUAACUUUCCACUGUCAGCUGCUCUGCUUGACAAGCUACAGCUCAGUUUCAGACUCUUGGGCGCUGUUUUCUUUUUGACUAAAUAUAAAUGUGAGGCGCUUCACAAUGCAAUGAGAUUGUGAGUUGAGCCAAUCAGUGUUGAGAGCAAGGCUGUGAUGUGAUUAUUCUGCGUUUGUCCCAUGGUUUGGUCUCGCUCUCCCUUGUUCUCAUGAGGCAGAGCGUCUGAGAACGGCCAUCCACCUAGACACAGCCUCCGAUACCAAUGAACCGCCGUUUCGUGGCCAUGUUAACAACAUGAGAGACGAGGGCGAGAACGGUCACUUCACUGCCCUGUGUGAACACUGAACACUCAACUCACGACAUCAUUGUAUUGUGUUGUGAAGCGCCUCACAUUUAUAUUCAGUACAAUGACGGUUUUUAAAUAAUUUGUAAUGACUUAAUCAUUUUUCCAGGUUUAAAAAGCAUUAAAAGUCAUUACAUGAAUUAUGCCAACAUUAAGGCCUUAAAAGUAAUUUAAAGGCACAAGUUGGAUUCAAAGUGGCAUUGGAUCUGCAUAUCUGAUGAGAAAAUAUGUUUUCCUUCGAGACAGUCCACUCAAUGACACGGCUUAACCUGAUAAACUGUCUUCCUCUGUGUAGGGAGAGCAGGGAGGGUUGGGCCACAUAAGACAAUUCUUAACUUUACUGCCAAGGCUUUCAACAUUUUUUGCACGAUAAAAAGUAUGCACACUCUCCAGAACCAUGAGUAGAGGCCUCUAAUUCAUGAGGCUUUAAUAUUCAAUAGAAAUGGAAUAAAUUCCAUUUAAAUCGUCCCAACCCUUGGGACAAUCCAAGGGGAGAAAUGGGUCACUAUUCUGAAUGGUUGACACUAACAUUUAUCUGAGACAGGAUGAUAUCUUAUGAAUUAUUAUUUAUAUUUGGUGAAAGUUACAAUAUUAAAACAUGUUCCUUCACAUAGAAAACUGUACUUUUUAAACAGAGAACAACUGUCUCUGGAUUCAUUCUAAUAACGUCUUCCUUGUCUGGGUUUGCAAACAAAACAGAAGAUCCACAGUAACAGAUCACUUCUUCAGUCACUCCUCAGAGUUGGGGACCUUACUAAAACAUGUAUACCAGGUGUCGAAGAUGAAAGGCUUGGGACAUCAGUGUCUUUUGUGUGGCCCAAUGCUCCCCACAAAAUUUGACCCAACGCUCCCAGUCAGCCAUCUUACAUCCAGCCAAAAAACACAUCCUGGAAAUGAUGAUAAAUGAAAGUUAAGUUCUUCAGUGUGAAAGCUGACUCACACUUGACAACCAAAAGUUGACUUUUAGUUUUAAGUAAAGAAAAAGGCGGAGAACGCGUCUCUGCUCUGAUCCGAGGACAUCACUAAAAGCCGACGCGUUUCGACCACAUGGGCUUUUAGUGAUGUCCCUGCCAUAUUAAAGGAUUGUUAUCUAUGUCGGAGUGCCUCGGAUCACCUUCUUUCUUUUUACUAAGUUUUGGUUUUAGUUUUUAGUUUUAGUUUUUAGUUCUCUCAGUUUAGCCUGGUCUCUCUUACAUAAAAGCGUGUGUUCGGAACAGCGCCGUUUGCUGGAUAAAGGCGUGCACUGCAGUUUCAUUGGUUUUGUUGACACCUCAGCGCUUUCAUAUAAAAGCAGAUUGAGAGAGAAUGUGACUGCUGUGUUUUCCUGGAGCCUAUUGCCUUGUAAACGGCGCCCCAGGUU
ensembl:lncRNA